GCGCAGCAGUCGAGAAACUUCGGCAAUGGGGGAAACCCUGACCGAGCGACGCCGCGUGUGGGAUGAAGGCCCUUGGGUUGUAAACCACUGUCAGAGGGGAUGAAAUGCCGGAAAGUUAUCUCUCCGGUUUGACAUAGCCUCAGAGGAAGCACGGGCUAAGUUCGUGCCAGCAGCCGCGGUAAGACGAACUGUGCAAACGUUAUUCGGAAUCACUGGGCUUGAAGAGUGCGUAGGCGGUUUCGUAAGUAGGGUGUGAAAGCCCCCGGCUCAACCGGGGAAUUGCGUCCUAAACUGCGAGGCUGGAGUGAGGUAGGGGUGUGUGGAACUUCCAGUGGAGCGGUGAAAUGUGUUGAUAUUGGAAGGAACGCCGGUGGGCGAAAGCGACACACUGGACCUUGUCUGACGCUGAGGCACGAAAGCCAGGGGAGCAAACGGGAUUAGAUACCCCGGUAGU
rnacentral:rRNA from 1 species